UACGAAGGGGGCUAGCGUUGCUCGGAAUCACUGGGCGUAAAGGGUGCGUAGGCGGGUUUUUAAGUCAGGGGCGAAAUCCUGGAGCUCAACUCCAGAACUGCCUUUGAUACUGAAAAUCUUGAGUCCGGGAGAGGUGAGUGGAACUGCGAGUGUAGAGGUGAAAUUCGUAGAUAUUCGCAAGAACACCAGUGGCGAAGGCGGCUCACUGGCCCGGUACUGACGCUGAGGCACGAAAGCGUGGGGAGCAAACAGG
rnacentral:rRNA from 1 species